GGAUGCGAUCAUACCAGCACUAAAGCACCGGAUCCCAUCAGAACUCCGAAGUUAAGCGUGCUUGGGCGAGAGUAGUACUAGGAUGGGUGACCUCCUAGGAAGUCCUCGUGUUGCAUUCC
rfam:Triticum aestivum genome assembly, contig: Triticum_aestivum_CS42_TGACv1_scaffold_397810_5AS